rnacentral:lncRNA from 1 species
GCGGAGUCCUCCUGAGAUGCCGCCGCAGCCAUGCAGGAGGCAGCUGGUGGGAAGGUGGCGCAGAGGGAGGCGAGCAAGGCAGAAAGAUGAGGACCCAAGCAUGGGGCGUUCACGGGGGUCAGGGGGUGCGCGUGCGCAGCGGCAGACCUGCAAGGGCAGAGCUGUUGCACGCACAAGGAUGAGUGCGCAAAUGCCUUGGUGGACCUUAGACCUUCUUGCGCGAGAAUGGGUGCAUGCAUGGGAUUGUUGGUCAUGGAUGCGCAUAUGCAGUGGCAGACCUGCAAGGACAGAGCCUCUUGCGCGCACGAAGAUGAGUGCGCACACGUGCCUUUGCAGUAUCUAUAACCCCCAUGCGCAGCAGCAGACCUAGAGCAGUGCUUGCGUGUGUUAGAAGGUGAGCCUGUGCGAUUACAAGUAAGGAAAUAUGGGUGCAUUUGUCUGCGCAGGUGGCCAACUGGAGAGCCUCUAUGAACGCGCAUGGGAUGCGCACGCAGCCAUUGAUUUAUCAUGUGGUAGCAGGUUGAAGCAUGUGCUCUGGUGUGUUCAGGUGAGGGAUAGCAUGUCUUUUGCUUGAAUUGGAUCUACGCGCAUUGCACAGCCGUUUUUGAAGGCGCACCCAUUCAGCCACAUACUCUCCAUUUCUAAGAAGUGAUUAAAUGCGCACUAUGAAAGGCGAGCUGCAUACAGCACGCCAGAUUUUGCACCCCCGGAGGUUGUGCCUAAGAGCUUUGCCAAAGUCCAGACUUUGCACUUGCAAAUCUAGGGGCUGACCCUUUGGCCGGCACACGCGUUUCAUUGCACCUUGCCACCUGCAUCACUCGGACCUGUGCGAUGAGGGUGUAAUGGAGGCAGCUGCCGUGAAGAAGUCCUGGCGCUCCACA